GCUAACUACGUGCCAGCAGCCGCGGUAAUACGUAGGGUGCGAGCGUUAAUCGGAAUUACUGGGCGUAAAGCGUGCGCAGGCGGUGAUGUAAGACAGAUGUGAAAUCCCCGGGCUCAACCUGGGAACUGCGUUUGUGACUGCAUCACUCGAGUACGGCAGAGGGAGGUGGAAUUCCGCGUGUAGCAGUGAAAUGCGUAGAUAUGCGGAGGAACACCGAUGGCGAAGGCAGCCUCCUGGGCCAGUACUGACGCUCAUGCACGAAAGCGUGGGGAGCAAAACAGGAUUAGAUACCCUGGUAGUCCACGCCCUAAACGAUGUCAACUAGUUGUUCGGUGAGGAGACUCAUUGAGUAACGCAGCUAACGCGUGAAGUUGACCGCCUGGGGAGUACGGCCGCAAGGUUAAAACUCAAAGGAAUUGACGG
rnacentral:rRNA from 1 species